GUUGGAACGCGAUAUCGAUUUAUGUUAGGCGCAGUGAGGACGGGGCGUGGUGUCGCGGCGGGCGCCGGGAGCGACUGCCACGGAGCUCCUGUCUCGUGCACGCUGGAGGAAAUCUCAGGCAGUUGUUGAUGCAGACUUUCUGGACUCGAUAUGAAGGACAUUGAUGCCAAGAUCCUGAAACACCGUCAGAGCCCUGACGAGUCCACCGACUUGGUUUUUAAGGCUGAAAAUCACUGAAAUUCUCUCCCGUUCCGACGUGCCCUGUAGCUGGGACAUUUGUAUUUCACCCAGUUUUGGAUGAUGGGGCGCCUCGUUUUUGACUUCCGACCAAUCAGACCCGUUUCUAUAAAGCCAUAAUCCCAAAAGGCCCUUCCCUGACCCACUCAUAAUGAAUCAAGACUAUAUUCAAGUGAUUGGAGAUGAAUGGGUGUAUUUAUGAAUGGUGUUAACAAGAUAUAAAUAGAUUAAAGGAUAUUCAGUGCAGAUCUUGGGACAUACUGUGCCCUUUUCAAUCUCUGCCCGCCUUAUAAAGAGAAGAGGAGUGGGAGAGCCGUCGGAGGUUGUACAAGUUAAUUGCGAUCACAUAUUUUCCGGCACAACUUUGAAUCAAUCCGUCGUGUAUUACGAAGUGUAUUGGGCCGCGCCUUUACUUCGUAAAGUAAGAACAGUUAAAGUCCCAAUUACUUUGUAUCCUGAGUUUGUUUGUAACGAAUACAUUUCAGGAUUUCUGAUAUAUGAUCAACGUGAGAAUUAUCCCCAACUCCGUACUAAUACAUCGGUAACCCUUGGAGGCUUGGGCUUUUAUUACGUUAAUUUAGCUAUGGUUAGUAAAAAAAGUAAAAGUAUUAACGUAGAUAUUUAUAUCUAUUCCAAAGGAUGUGAUAACGAGACGGAUUUUUUUAAUUUGACAUAAUAAUAUCACAAUGUUCUAAUUUGAUAAAGUCCAUAAGAAAUCCGAGCCCAGAAUAUUUAAAAAUCUGCUUGAAUGCAGUAAGCUAUAUUCUUGAGGCACAUUUUAUUUUGGAAAUUAUUUAUUUUUAAUUUAAUCAUAACAAUGUGACAAUAUAUAAUAAAAAUAGAGUGAAGUGAAUUACAAAAUAUAUAAUUUCAUGUAGUAUAAUAAGUAGUACACCUUACACGAGAUCGUUGUAAAUUUUAUUGUUGUUUAUAGUCAGUAUACUAUAUUUGAAAUUAGUAUUAGAAUUUGUCUGGUUUAUUACUGUCGGCUAGACUUAGCUGUUUCUUCUUAAUAAAGAUUGAUCGAAUACAAACUAAUUGUAUUGUUUUAUUUUCUAUCUAUGUAAUAUAUUAUAUAAUGUAUCGCGCAUUGGAAAUUGCAGUUCUACAAGCUUAUCCCGUCCCAUCCU